rnacentral:rRNA from 1 species
AACCUUGAUGGCGACCGGCGCACGGGUGAGUAACGCGUAUGCAACCUGCCCGAUACCGGGGUAUAGCCCAUGGAAACGUGGAUUAACACCCCAUAGUACUUUUAUCCUGCCUGGGACGGGAGUUAAAUGUUCAAGGUAUCGGAUGGGCAUGCGUCCUAUUAGUUAGUUGGCGGGGUAACAGCCCACCAAGACGAUGAUAGGUAGGGGUUCUGAGAGGAAGGUCCCCCACAUUGGAACUGAGACACGGUCCAA